GAGGUUUGAUCCUGGCUCAGGAUGAACGCUAGCGGCAGGCCUAAUACAUGCAAGUCGAACGGGAUCGGGGGCUUCGGUCCCCGUGAGAGUGGCGCACGGGUGCGUAACGCGUGAGCAACCUGCCCGUCCCACGGGGGAUAGCCCGGAGAAAUCCGGAUUAAUACCGCAUGAGAAUGCAGGUCCGCAUGGGCCUUCAUUUAAAUAUUCAUAGGGGACGGAUGGGCUCGCGUGACAUUAGCUGGUUGGCGGGGUAACGGCCCACCAAGGCGACGAUGUCUAGGGGCUCUGAGAGGAGAAACCCCCACACUGGUACUGAGACACGGACCAGACUCCUACGGGAGGCAGCAGUAAGGAAUAUUGGUCAAUGGGGGGAACCCUGAACCAGCCAUGCCGCGUGCAGGAAGACGGCCCCACGGGUUGUAAACUGCUUUUGCACGGGAAUAACCCCGGUAUGUAUACCGGGCUGAAUGUACCGUGAGAAUAAGGAUCGGCUAACUCCGUG
rnacentral:rRNA from 1 species